GGAAAAGUCUCCGAAUUGGAUCGAGGUUUUGGCUACCCCACCAUUGUCAGGCAUCCCGAGCGCGUUCCCGAAGUCGGAAUCGGCAAAGGUGAGCCGGGACAGCCUUCUUCCUCCGCCCAGCCGCCACAGUGAUUGUCGUCAAGUCUGCCACAGGAGGAUAUUUUUUUGAGGUUAACCUGCUUUCUCCCUCGCAGGUCGAUUACUACUGUUUGUAUAAACUUGUUAAAUCUUAGAAUUUCCGCAUGUGUUAGAAAUGUUUAUUUGAUUUGGGUCUGUAAACUAAAUUAUUAUUUUUGGACCUGUAAA